rnacentral:rRNA from 1 species
AGCAGUGGGGAAUAUUGCACAAUGGGCGAAAGCCUGAUGCAGCGACGCCGCGUGAGGGAUGACGGCCUUCGGGUUGUAAACCUCUUUCAGUAGGGAAGAAGCCCUCUUUGUGGGGUGACGGUACUUGCAGAAGAAGCGCCGGCUAACUACGUGCCAGCAGCCGCGGUAAUACGUAGGGCGCAAGCGUUAUCCGGAAUUAUUGGGCGUAAAGAGCUCGUAGGCGGUUUGUCGCGUCUGCUGUGAAAGACCGGGGCUCAACUCCGGUUCUGCAGUGGGUACGGGCAGACUAGAGUGCAGUAGGGGAGACUGGAAUUCCUGGUGUAGCGGUGAAAUGCGCAGAUAUCAGGAGGAACACCGAUGGCGAAGGCAGGUCUCUGGGCUGUAACUGACGCUGAGGAGCGAAAGCAUGGGGAGCGAACAGGAUUAGAUACCCUGGUAGUCCAUG